UAGAUCUGUUCCCUAGCAAAGCUUCGGCGCUGAUGUUUCGCUAAACGGACAGCUUUGAGGGACCUUACGUAACAGCGUCGCGUCUUAGAAUGGUUUGAGCUAUAGUUCGAGGGGCUGAUGCGGAUGCAUAAGAGACUGACGGUGUCAUGCUAUAUGUUCGGUCGGUAACUGGAGGCAGUACGGUCACGGUUUGCUCUUUGAGUGUCCAAAGAGAUUUUGAAGCCAUCGAACACUGUAUUUCUUCUGUAAUACCAAGUUAUAAAUUAGGGAAGUGCAGAGUUACACUGCCAUUGUAACGGUUCAUCGCUCAAGGCACCAACGAUGUGUAACUUUUGUACCAAUGAUGAUAUUGAAUUUUAAAGACGGAUGCUGCCAUGCCAUGGUAACAUGCCAAGAACACCCCUUGGAGUUAUGUAACUAGCGGUAUAUGCUAAGAGUUUCUUUUCGGACGGUGUGUUUUGACUCCUAGGCUCAUCUGAGCCCGGAAGUGAACAGUAAAUUCGCCAAAAAUAGUAAAAAAAUUCAAUUCUUUUUGUGAUGAAAGAUGCUUGAGUUCGUGAUGUAUGUGCAAAAAUUCAGAGCAUUUGAACACCUGACGAGCUCUCGGCAAAUUUGGGGGCUGUGAACGUUCUCAGGCAUCUUUCAACACAAUUUUUUUUAGAAUUUUUGAUUUUUAAGUAUUUUUCUGAAUUUAUUGUUUAGAGGGUGUAGAUGAGCUCGGGAGCUGAAUUGAAUAUUCGUUUCUUUCAGCUUAUUAUGGAGAACAUCUGAUACGGCAUGGUUUUGGCCCAAGGGUUAUCUUUCCAAUUUGAGUUCUUAAUGCUGAUUUAAUUGUUUGGCAAUUUUCUGAUCUUGAUAUCAUGUAAUAAAGUAUAGUUGUCUAAAAUGUUAGUAUCUCUGGGAAGGUUGGAAAUGUGUGAAGGGCUGCAUGUCAUUCUCAUCAUUUGCCUGUUAAAUUAGCUGGUGCCUUGAUGUUUGUAAUCAUAUUCGGAAUUGUCAUCAUUACAGCGGAUGGAUCUCUAAUGAAUAUCAAUUUGAUGUACCUUUUCUUGCUGGUGCUAUGUUUGAUCCUCAGAUGUUUUUGGGGCUAUUCUUUUGAAAAUCUUGCCACUGAGAACUCCAUUGACGAAGACGGAAGCGGUAUUGAUGCUAAUGUAGAGUAUUGUUCUGUAAUAAAGACGAAAUUGGGCACGCAUCGCAUUGUCAUGGGUGCUGAGAUGGACUGCUGUGAUUCAACCGACGAUGGUAGGCGGUUCUAUGUGGAGUUGAAAACAAGCAGAGAGGUCGUUCUUCUUUUCCAUGAGCUUUCAGUGUUCUGAUACCACAUAUAUUCAAUCUAGUCACCAUUCUGAAUUUUGUAACAGCUGGAGUAUCAUACGGUGGAAAAAUUUGAGAAAGAGAAGUUACUUAGGUUUUGGGUAAUUUCUUGUCCUCUUAUUUUUUGUAGCUAUUUCAUGACACCAUUUUUUUAUCAUAACUAUCGUUUGCAACUUAUUCUGUUCUCUUCCACAGCGUGAAAUCCUAUAUUGAGACUGUGCUCCAUAUGAUCUUAGAACAGUUCCUUUUAUUAAGUUUCUUACAUUUUUAAUUGACCCCCUUAAGUUCUGAGGAUGAUUUGUUUCUUGUAUGCGGGGACUGAGGAUAUAUGCUAACAACUUUACAUGGCCAUCUUGUUAUGAUUCUCUCUGCGAUCACAACUUCAGCUUCAUAGUAUUUUAUCUUCAGAAGUCAUAUCUACUAUAUAUAGCUUGAAACAUUAACUUUUAAUUUACUGAAUAUUACAGAUUCAACCAUUCCUUGUUGGCGUGUCGUAUGUUGUCGUGGGAUUCAGGUAGUAUUCAAUCAUCACGACAUUCUUUGUUAGUACUUCAAGCUUCCUGUCAGAGAAUAAUACAUCAGAGCUUUAGUAUAUAUCAAAUUAUCUAUUAUAACAGGCCUAAUGAUACAUAACUUUUUUGAGUUUGUAGUUCCUUCAGUUUAAUUUGUUUGACCACUUUUCAAGCAUUUUGUUCAAACUUUUAUGCUUACUGUCUAACACACUGCAUGCUACAUAACCUGUGGUUUUUGCUUAAUAAUGAGACAUUCAACCAGAAAGACAUUCAAAUUCCAAUCCUCUAAUAUUGGCUAUAUGGUUGAUACAAUUAGGAAGGGGAGUACGAUUACCUUUUCUGUCUGACUCUGUUCAGUGUUGUUUGUGAUGUGUAGAUGGAUUGGCUGCAAUGUUCAAAAUUGGUUUUAACUUGAUCAAGUUACACUCCUCUCUUUUUGGCUUUGCAGGAAUGAUGCUGGUGUACUUAUACGAACUGAGAGACUAAGAACUAAAGAUAUUACACAAAAAGUGAAAGCAAAGAACUACUGGCAGGUAUACUAAAUUAAUUCCAUGUUGUUCAUUCACAACAGUGGAGUCUAUGAUAUGUAAGGAAGAACAUGAGUGUGUGAGUAUAAUAUUAGGACUUAGAAGCGCAUAAUAACCUAUAUAGAAAGUCGAAUAACUGGUUUGCCUUGCCAAAUCUUAAAUAAUAGUGGAAAGGAGUGUACACUUGCCAUUACUCUGAUGCUGCAGUCCCUUUUUCUGUUUUACGCGUAGGAUAACUGAUAACUGCCCUCUUUUGUAGGAGAGUACCAAAUUACUUGCUAUGCAACAUAUGUGACUAGCUUAAUUUUAAUUAAAUGUAUGGUUCUAAAUUACUUUCUUGCAUUUCCCACUGUAAUAUUCAGGGUGGUGUCUGCUUGGCCUUUGCUGACGAGGUUUUAUGCUGGCUGUAUGGCACUGUCAAAGAAAGUGAGAAUUCCUUCACCACUCUUACUAGAUGCAUCUUCACCUUCCUCUCUCAAAAAUAUGCACUUGUUGCCAUUCAUAAUCCCGAGUAGUUCUCUUCAUGUGCGUGAUAUCGUUUGCCCCAUGUCUUGCAGAUGAAGACUAUGUUCUGCAAUUUGCACACCCGUUCCAUCGAUUGGAACUAUUAAAAGCCCAGUCUCCAUGCCCCGAGGCAAUAACUCUGCAUGUGGAACAGCUCACCGGUGCAACAAACUAGAUCUGUUCCCUAGCAAAGCUUUGGCGCUGAUGUUUCGCUAAACGGACAGCUUUGAGGGACCUUAUGUAACAGCGUCGCGUCUUAGAAUGGUUCGAGCUAUAGUUCGAGGGGCUGAUGCGGAUGCAUAAGAGACUGACGGUGUCAUGCUAUAUGUUCGGUCGGUAACUGGAGGCAGUACGGUCACGGUUUUCUCUUUGAGUGUCCAAAGAGAUUUUGAAGCCAUCGAACACUGUAUUUCUUCUGUAAUACCAAGUUAUAAAUUAGGGAAGUGCAGAGUUACACUGCCAUUGUAACGGUUCAUCGCUCAAGGCACCAACGAUGUGUAACUUUUGUACCAAUGAUGAUAUUGAAUUUUAAAGACGGAUGCUGCCAUGCCAUGGUAACAUGCCAAGAACACCCCUUGGAGUUAUGUAACUAGCGGUAUAUGCUAAGAGUUUCUUUUCGGACGGUGUGUUUUGACUCCUAGGCUCAUCUGAGCCCGGAAGUGAACAGUAAAUUCGCCAAAAAUAGUAAAAAAAAUUCAAUUCUUUUUGUGGUGAAAGAUGCUCGAGUU
rnacentral:lncRNA from 1 species